GUGCAGUCAUCAAGACUACAAGACAAGAUGUGAAGGGUCUGAGCAGCACCAAAUAAAGGAGGGAGUUGAAAGGCAAUAAGAUCAACUGCAGGAGGAAUUCUUAAAGGAGAGGUGGAAAAAAUUAGACCCAAUCCAAUCACAGUGAGAAGGAUUGCCUUGAUCCUUUUGCAAAUCAACAAAUAUUGUGAAGCAGAUGCUAAAUCCAAAGGUGCACAUGAAGCAGUGUUAGACUCCAGCCUUCAACCUCUACCAAAUGCCUCACAGCAUCUUGUAUCACCAGCUCUGAUACAUUCACACAGUGAGGAUCAGUUGGUCAGCAGGGAGAAGCUCAGAGAUUAUGUGAAGAUAACCAUUGCAGGCAGAAUUGGAGGAGUUGCAACCUGCUGGCCGGAGAGCCAAUUCAGGGGUACCUACUGGAUUCAUAGAAGCUCCCUGAAAAUGUUUGUUAGCUCAAUGUCAUCAGUCAAUGCAGUCAUUUGCCAAAUAGCCUGUGCAGUUUUGGAGAGGUCCAUGGAGAAGCCUUCACCCUGCAUAUGAACCUUGCUACAAAGCAGCCUGACUAAACUGCUGACACCAUGGACAUUUGGAGAAUGUAGCUAUUUCAGGAUGUUCUGCAACAGAUCCCCUUUGACUGUCACCUUAAAUUUAAUUAUUGGCUCCAUUAUCAAAGCUAUUCAUAGGGCUCUUGGAAAGUGUGAUGAGAUGCUUUCCAAUUCCCGGAUGAGUUCUGCUCCAACAUUCAAGAAACUCAACGCCAUCCAGGAAAAAUCUGUCAGCUUGUUUAGCACCCCAUCCACCGCCUUAAAUAUUCACAAUCUCCACCAGUAUGUACCAUGGCAGCAGUGUGCACCAGAAACAAGAAGCAUUUCAGAAAUUGUCAGCACCUCCCAGACCCGUGACCUCCACCACUUAGAAGGACAAGGGCAGCAGAUGCAUAGGAACACCACCACCUGCAAGUUCCCCUCCAAAGUCACACGCUGCCCUGACUUGGAAAUACAUCAUCAUUCCUUCAGUGACACUGGGUCAAAAUCAAAAUCCUUGAACUCCCUGGAAACCUGGAAUACCUUCACCAAGUGAUUCGAUGUGUUGGUUCACCAUCGCCUCUCAAAGGGAAGUAAGGGAUGGGCAACAAAUGUUGGCCUUGCCAGUAGCACCCAUGUCCAAAGAAUAAAUUAAAAACAGUUCUUUGAUACCUCAGCAGAUUAUGCUUUAGAACUGCAUCAGAUCUGUUCAGUCAUGUGAAUCAAUGCUUUAGGAUGCCUGUGGUGUACUCAAGAUUCUGGUGAAUAAAUGUGCCUCAUUGUAUUUCACCUCAGGAUGUGCUCUUGGGUAAUAAAUUGGUGUUCUGAGCCA